rnacentral:sRNA from 1 species
UUAUUGCGUUAGUGGUAGAAGCGGCAUCCUUUUUUUUGUUGCAUAUAUGCAAAAAAAAGAUAUAGUGGAUGACACGACGAAAA